CACGAUAAUUUAGCUGAUCACCUCAGGUUUUCAAAAAUCGUGAAAAGAAUUUCUUUGAUGAUAUAAAAAUGAAUGUUGAAAUAACCACUUAGUAGAUCGAAAUUAUUAUUUCAGAUUCAGCAACAAGCUGUUGGCAAAUCUCAUUCAUCUGUUCAUUUAUUGUAUUCAAUUUUUCACACCGUUAUCUUACAGCCAAACUGAUAUGAUAAAUUACUCCACUCAAUACAUGGAUAAGAUAAUCGUUUAGUGAAUUUCGAUUGUAGACAUGAGUAACAUCUGAUUAAUGAAAUUCAAGUAAAAUAUAUUGUGCAAGGCACAUGAAUACAUUUUGGAUAAACAUUCACUAUGGAGGGAUGCGAAGAUGUAGUUACAUCAAGAAUAAGUUUGAGAGACCUUUCCGGAUUGAGUGAGAGCUGCUUUGACGAAGAAGUUACUUCAGUCUCGUCCACGUAUCAUGAUGAAAGAAAGUGGAGACUGUCCUAUUUGAAAAGUCAAUUUGAAUCUUUCAAACUAGAUACAUUGUACAAGACGUAUACAGAAAAAAUAAAUCAUGGAUACUUCUCAUUAUUUCUAAUACUCCAAUGCAUCCUAAGUUUGAUGCAUUUAGUGAUAAUUAUCGUCAGUA